UGGCACAGUGUGUAAAGCACUUGGCUGCAAACCAAAAGGUUGGUGGUUCAAACCCACC
rnacentral:tRNA from 1 species